CUCCAUCGGCGGGCUCGGCACCCAGUAUUCCCUGCCCAGCGUGCAGGCCGCCACCGACCUCGCCGACUACCUCUGGUUCGCCUUCCUAGCCGGCCACCGCAAGGGCGUCCACCGCCCGUUCGGCGACGCCGCGGAGCUCGACGGCAUCGACCUGUUCAUCGACCAGGGCCCGCCGGACUACUACGACGUGCUGGCGCGCCGGCUGUGGAGCUACAACAAGGACUUCCGCGGCCGCACGCCGGCGCAGCUGUCGGCGACGCCGCGGUGCCGGUACCCGGACCCGCGGCUGGAGCGGGCGCUCGCCACGGGGGUCGUCACACGCAUCAACGUCAGGUUCUAC
rnacentral:lncRNA from 1 species